UGCUUACACUGGCUCUUGGGAACAGUGCUGGAAUCCACAUGGGUGGGUAGAUCUAUCUUUGGUGUCCUGAUUUCAAUGACUUUGAGUGUAUUCCUAGUAGUAGAAUUGCUGGUUGAAGUGAUAGUUCGAGUCUUUUAAGGUUUGGAGGAACCUCCAAGUGGUUUCUGUAUCGUGUGUGCUAGUUUACCUUCUCACGAACUGUGGAGAAGAGUGUCUCUCUCUCUGGAAACACACCAGCAUUUCCCUUUCUUUCAAUGUUUUUUGUCUUUUUUUGUAACACUCAUUCCAAUUAGAAUGAGAUGGUGUCUAAGUGUUGUUUUGAUUUACAUUUUGCUUGUGGUUAGUGAUAUUUGCCAGGUUAUUGUGAACUUGUUUCAAUUUGUUGUGUAAGACUGGGCAAAGGACCUGAAGACCUGAGAUGGAUGCACAGGUUAAAGAUUCUGAAUCAACAUUACUGAUCCUCACGAGAAGUCAAUCAAAACCACACUGAGAUAGCAUCUGUCUCUGGACUUCCCAACCCACAGCCUCUCUUCACCACUGUGGAACUUUCUACUUCUAGGGGAUAAAGUCGUUUAGAGAGGAAGUUGAUCUCAUUCUCACAUGCAUGAAAUCAUGCCGUGUUUGGCUUUCUCUGCCUGACUCAUUUCGUUGAGGGUCAUGUCCUCCAGGGUUCUGCACGUUGCUGCAGAUGACAUGGUUUCAUGAAUUUCUGUGGCCGAAGAGGAUUCCAUUGUGUACUGCAGUUUCUUUAUCCCUUCAUCUGUGCACGAACAGGUGCAGCCGUGUUGUGGGAAAUGAAAAAUGCCCUGAAUUUUGAUGGCUGAAAAGUAUUCCAUUGUGCCUGUGUCCUGGAAAUUCUUCAUCCCUUCAUCUGUGGAUGGACAGGACUGGGUGGAGGACCUGAAGACACGCGAUUUAUGCACAGGUCAAAGAGAAGAUUCCCACCAUUGCUGAUGCACACAAAAGCGUUUCUCCAAGUGGUUGCAGAUGACAUGAUUUCCUGAAGUGUUACAGCUGAAGUGUGUUUCCUUGUGUAUAUAUACUGUGGUUCCUUUAUCCCUUCAUCUGUGGAUAGACAGGUGCAACCGUGUGGUUCCCCACGAUAUGAUGUCAUUGUGGUUUUCUGUCUGAAGAGUAUCCCAGGGUGUACAUGUGGAGCAGCUUCUUUCUCCCUUUUUCUGUGGAUAAGCAGGACCUGCUGAAGCACACACCUGUGGACCACCCAGACCGCCUGCCACUACAGGAUGCCCUCCGCAUCUCCCAGGACUUCUUUCUGGCAUCAGCGAGGACAUUGACCCCUCUGGACUGCAGUCAUAAUGGACUCCCAAUGGGGAGGAUUGCUUUGGGAAGAGCUACUGUCCUGUGGAAGGUGCCUGACCCAGCCUUCUGCCUCUGCAUUUUAAUCCCUGACCCAAAAUAUGAUGCAGCUGAUCCCAAACAGAGGCCCCUUGAAGGAUCAGCAUGUCCAGUCUGUGUCACUCCUCCCCCAACACCUUCACAGCGUGGGCUGCCUCAAGGUGAGGUGUCCGGUGCUCCAGCGACCGCCCUGAAUAACUAGUGGCUGCUUGACUCCCAACUGCCUCAGAGCUCAGGACAAGUGGAGGAGAACUGGUUUCUUUCUUAAAGCCAGAUAUGGCUGCAAGCCAGCCGCAACCUUACGACAGCAUCACAAAAAAUUAGUUUCACCAAAACUGAUAAACUCUUAUGAACAGGAGGCUGGCUGGGUUGCUGCUCGGAUGGUUUGGUGAGUGAAGCCCACAACCUCCCAGGGUCUCAUGGACUGAAGAGCUGAGCAGCUGUCUGAGCAGCCUGGGCUCAGGCCUGACUGAGAAAGGACAGUGGCUGCUCCAGCACAGAGGGUGCACCUUCGUGCUCACAUCAUUUCUCACCGAGAAUUAGUCUCUACAAGCUCCUCCUCCCACCACCAGACCUCUGAAAAGACAGGGGCAGAGUACAACUCCUCUUAGAGGGUCUGUCCAUUGCCACAGCCUUCAUACCCCCAGCCCAGGAUCCUUCCCGAGGACCACGCAGGGCCUCCUUCCCUCUGUCACCAAAUGUGCAUUCCACUAACCCGAUGGCACUGUUCUUUCUCACCACUCUCCCCAGCUGCACCCAAACAGCCAGUGGUCAUGUCCUCAUCAACCCCAUGCAAAUCCCACUGUGAGAUUUCAGUUGCUGUUUGUCCCGAGCAUCUCUGAAUCGAGACUGCUGAAGAUUGAUAUCAGAUUUUGACAGAUACGCUCAGGAGUCUUUGGUCUGAGGUGCCCCUCCCUGCUGUAUCCGCUGCUGUGGUGGUGUCGAUAUUCUCCUAAUCUGACGAAGGCAGCCUGGAUGUGUCUCCACAUCUCGUCUCUGGAAGAGUAUGCAGGAGACUGGCCUUCUUUCUCCCGUAAACAUUUGUUAGGAAUCAGAGGAACCAAACUGUGCUGGCCUCUGAAGUUGGCGUUGUGGCCAUUUUUUUUCUGUUGAUACGUUUUGUUUUAAGGAUGGUGCAGUGCUCAGAUAUUAAGUGUACAGUCUUACAGUUCCUUAUAAACAUGUUUAAACACACAGAACGUCACCAGCACCCUGGCGGCCUGCCGUGGCUGGGGAUGGGAAUCACACCGAGCAACUAAACCAGUUACUCCAUGUAUGUUCUGAGCACAAGACUACAUGUCAUUAGCACAGAAUGAGCAGGGCAGCACCCUCAGAAGCAGGUGGCAGAGCAGGAGAGCUGGAAGAAGCCAACAGAGGAGCUGUGGGAUUCAGCAGGGGAGUCUGAGGGCAGGCCAGGAGCUGAGAGAAACUCUGGGAGCAUUGGGCUUCCCCAGAGAGAAACGGGAGCACUUCACAAAGUGCAGUGCCCAGAACAGCUCACCAAGGCCUGCCUUUGUUUAACCAGCUGUUCAGAUUUAUAUAUUUAUCUUUUUUUUCAUAGAAUCUAUUGAAAACUAGCAAUAGAUUUUGUUUAACGUAAAAAUGUUCAACAUUAAAUGUAGAAUAUAAUUCUAAACCUAAUCCCAAAUCGAUAAUAUUCAAAAACUAACUGCCCUUCAAUGAGGUGAAGCAGGCUCCUGUCUGACUCAGUCUCCCCAGAACGAAUCACACUCCAGAUCCUCUCUGGGCCUAGGUGAGAUCUGCACGUCACGGCCUUCCUGGGUGUUGGGACAGGGAUCUGCAACACAGACACAUGUCACUGGAGAGGCCAGAGAGGGAGGGAGGAGGGCCUUGCUUGGCUGGGUGUGCAGGACCCAGACGGUUCCUCAGGGCCUUAAAGUGACCUGGUGCUGAUGUCCCUGGGUCAGAUCCACAGGGCACUGAGUCUGGUUGCUGCUCUCAGGACCUCUGCUGAGGGUGUUGUGUGACCACAGAGAGUGCCUGUAAAUGUCCUGCAAGGAGCAAAAUAAACUAGAACUUCACAUGGGCACCCCUCCAGAGAUACUGAAUAGCCCUGGAUACUGAAACCGAGGAAUGGGGAGGGCUCCAGGGCUCCAGGAUGAACAGGCAGAGUCCCCUGCACCUGGGCCCUCAGAGAACAGGAGGUCUGAUGACACAGGAGUGGGAGAGGUGACCCUGUCCCUCCACCAGGACCCUCAGCAGGAUAGGGUCAGGAACCGGCACAUCCCAUGGACAGCAUCCUGGAGCUCUUUGUUGUUUUCCCUAAUGAUCAUUUUUUCUUUCUAAUCACCCAACCAAACUUGCCUGUACUUUUUAACAGGGAAAUCACUGGGCGGUGGGAGGACAGUUCAGGGCACCUUCACUGGCUUGCAUGGGUGCUCAAGGCACCUGUGUGGCCACCCACAAGCUGCCGCUCCGUGUUCUCCUGGGAUGUGUUGGUUUUUCUGAUGUGUCCGUAAGAAAGUGAGGGAAGGAACAGGGCCGCACGCACUUGCUUGCUUCCCUUCAUCGUGCUGCCCGCUCCACACUCCCAUUUCAUCUCUCUCUUCUCCAUCUAUUAUGUCCUUCAUGUCUUGACCUGGAUGGAGAGUAAGAGAAUUUCUUGACUUCUGAAAGAAAGAGAAGAAUCAUACAUGUCCAGAGUGCCCCAGUGCAGGAAAAACCCUGUGAUGGGGGUUCCCAGAGCAGACCCAGAUUUCCCAGGAGUCCCUCCACCAUGGUGAGCCCAGCCCUUCAUACCUCCAGCCCAGCCCCCUGCCUGGAACACUCAGGGCUGCUCAGCAGGAUUCAAUGCUGCAGCUUGGGGUCAGAAACCAGGGCAGGGCCAAGACAGUGGGCGGAGGGCUGGGAGAGAUUUCAUAGACAGUGAAGACCCAAGGACAUCAGCUGCCUGGGUGAGACGACCAGGCCCUUCAUGAUGAUGAUCCUAAAAGAGGAAAGAGGGAAUGGGGCACAGCAACCAAGAGGAAUGUAUGCAGAGGAAAGAGAAUAUCAAGGAGACACUAGUAGGAAAGAAAAUGACAUGCAGAUCGCUGUUCUCUGUAUCUGUAACUUCAUCUUCUAUAUCAUAUGCCUUGGCAGGUAUAAAAGCUGUGAUAAUAUAACGGGGUGGCCUUGGGGAAAGAAAGGGUAGGGUCAGAAUUGAGGCGGCACCUUGGGCCCUGAUGCUCCUGGCAAUUUAAAGCCCAGCUUCUGAACUCAAUUCUCCCUCAUCUCUACGGUCGUAUCUCAGGACCUCAUCACUUCACCUCUGAAGUUCAGGACAAGGAUCCUAAGAGAGGGAAAGAGGGAAUAGGGGAGAGCUGCAAAGAUAUCAUGAAUAAGAAAGAGAGAAGUUAGAAAAUGAGGAAGAAAGAGGAGGAAAAAGACAUGAAAGAGAAAUGACACGCAGAUUGUUGCUUUCAUGGUCAGAGACUUCAGUGUGCAAAGUAAUUUUCUGAGCAUCCAUUUGCAGAAAUGGGGUGGCGCUGGGAAAGGAAAGGGGAGAGUGAUCAUGGAGGUGCGACCUGGAGGACUCGGUACUCUUUGCAGGAAACAACCUGACCUUAGAUUCUGUUCUGUUCGCAUCUCAACGCUUCUCAUCUGUCCUCAUCUCAAUGCUCCUCUUCCAGGACCUCCACAGCUUCACGUCUGUGAUGAGGGAGGAGGACUAGGAUCUCGGGGACUUUUCCAGUCCUCCAAGGAUUUAACUGUGAUGAGGCAGGAAUCAUGCCUUGGACCCUGAACCAACAGCUCUGUUUGGGUUGCUGUGAUUCAUGUUAAUGACUUUUCUCUUCCCCCUCACCGAAGCAGCUCAGAGCAUUCUGCCUCAAUGGCCCAUAUCCUUCAGUGUUUGGAAAAGCGCAUAGAAAGCAAAUCUGUGGCCAUAUUUUUAAAGGAUGUCUCAGAUUCCUUCUGGCUUCUCUUCUCCUUGACACAGACAGAAGAGGGGUCCUUUGGUGCUGAAAUAUAAGCCACAGGCCCACUCAGACAUCUGGAGAGGCUCUAGUUGGUGUUCAUUCAUUCAACAUACACAUACAAAACACCUCAUUUGUGCAUCGUUCUUCCUGUGGCUUGGCAUAAUUUAUUAAACAAAGCCGAUGACAAUCCUUGGACCUCAAGUCUACUCAGAGUCAGGCGCUCACAGUAGACAGAAUAAACAGACCAUAUCUACAGAAUGUUAGAGGGGAAACCCUCUUGGCCUCCUCUACGUAUGGUGACGUCCUCCCAGAUUCUGACUAGAAUGACAGAGCCCAGCAACAAGUAUAAACCAGGUGAAUUUAGGGUUCUAAAGGGCCUUUUCACCCACAAAACAUGGGGGAAAAGAUGUGGACUCUGGCUGGGGAAAGACUCAAGGAGCCCUGGGGCUCAUACUUCUUAUACUCCCAUGAGAAGUCUGACAUUCUAGGACUUCUCCUGCAAGAGGCAAAUAGUCAAUGAGUUCUGUAAAUGGAGAUUUAGGUCCCCUGCAACAGGGACAGUUUAUUUCAAGAGAGGAGACAUGAGUUGAAUGCUGGUAUGUUUUAACUCUGCAGAAAAAAUAGUUGCAACAAGUGUGGUGAACUAAUCACCCAACGGCCUUUUGCUGCCUUGUCAUUGUGCCUUAAGUAUAAGUGAAUCUACUGAAUGCCACUGCAUGCACACUUUGACUAAAAGGUUCAAAUGAUAAAUAUUGUGUUAAGUAUAUUUUUCCACAAUAGAAAACACACACAGCCAAGCCCAGAUGCCAGUCGUGCUAGCAGCCUUCCUUUACCUUCAAGAGUGGGCCAAGGCUCAUCUGAUCGCUCAAGGUAUCUCGGAAGCUUACCAUCAAAGUAGUCUCCAUUGGAAGAGAAAUUAAUGGAGAGAGGAGAAAACUUCAGAAUCCACACUACUCACUUCACAGGGUCAACAACUCUGUCUCCUGUGCACUGCUGAUCCAUCUCAGUAUUUCCUGUGACCACCUCCUUUUUCAACUGAAGACUCUGCACCUGAAGGGGUUCCCAGGUUUUUCACCUUGGCCCUUGUCAGGACUGAUCCUCUCGGCUACUGUCCAUUUCACCUCCAUUCAUGUCCAUGCCACAUCAGGCUGUGUUGUCCAGAUGGAAUGAAUCCACCCCAAAUGUCCCUUUCUGGAGGAAGCCACCAUGAUGCUGUACCUCCAACACGUCCACACACACCGAAGCACCUCGCUCACGCAAGGUGUGUGUCCUCCAACCAAGUUUCACGCUGUAAACCCAGGUAACUUUUGAAACCCAAGUCUUGUUGAUUCCCCUACUUCAGGUGCUCCAUAGAUGCUCGUUUGUCUGCAGAACCCUGCCCCAGGCAAUUAAAUUGUCCAACAUGACCAGCAGAAUUUUUCUGUUAGUUCUGACCUUGUGUUGGGAGUACAAGUGUUUCUCCCCCUUCAAAUUUCUGUCUUUGUUACUGAUAAAAGUAUGUAACUGAUAAUGCUUUUUUUCAGCUAUGUUGCCAAGCACAUUUAUAUAAAAAUAUACUCUUAGAUUGUUUUGAGAAUUUGAUAAAGAUGAUAGCAACAAUGAUAAUCUUAUUUGUUACAAUAAGAUUGUAUGUAAUGAUAAUCUUUACGUGUUACUUUCAUCAUUUCUUACAUGUUGGGGCCUACCAUACAUUGUACAGCAUUAGUGCUAUGCAUCAUGGUAGGAAUAUAAGUUGGCAAAGGAAAUUUAGAAAAUAGUUCUCUUACUUCUUAAAAAAAAUUUGGUUGGGCAUGGUGGUUCACAGCUAUCAU